rnacentral:rRNA from 1 species
GGCGGAAGGCCUAACACAUGCAAGUCGAGCGCGAAAGCACUUCGGUGUGAGUAGAGCGGCGGACGGGUGAGUAACGCGUAGGAAUCUACCUGGUAGUGGGGGACAACUCGGGGAAACUCGAGCUAAUACCGCAUACGCCCUACGGGGGAAAGCGGGGGACCUUCGGGCCUCGCGCUAUCAGAUGAGCCUGCGUUGGAUUAGCUAGUUGGUGGGGUAAUGGCCUACCAAGGCGACGAUCCAUAGCUGGUCUGAGAGGAUGAUCAGCCACACCGGGACUGAGACACGGCCCGGACUCCUACGGGAGGCAGCAGUGGGGAAUAUUGCGCAAUGGGCGAAAGCCUGACGCAGCCAUGCCGCGUGUGUGAAGAACGCCUUCGGGUUGUAAAGCACUUUCAAUUGGGAGGAAAGGUUCACGGCUAAUACCCGUGAGCCGUGACGUUACCUUUAGAAGAAGCACCGGCUAACUCCGUGCCAGCAGCCGCGGUAAUACGGAGGGUGCAAGCGUUAAUCGGAAUUACUGGGCGUAAAGCGCGCGUAGGUGGUCUGUUAAGUCGGAUGUGAAAGCCCUGGGCUCAACCCUGGGAACUGCAUCCGAUACUGGCAGACUAAUAAUGCGGAAGAGGAGGUAGAAUUCCAUUGUGUAGCGGUGAAAUGCGUACAUAUGUGGAGGGAC